UAUGGAUAAUCCAGCCCCAGCCCCAGCCCCAGCCCCAUUUUACAGAUGAGGAAACUGGGACUUACUGAAGUCAUGUAUUUAAUGAAGGGUUAAACUAGGAUUUGAACUGAAUCUCUUGAUCUUAAGGCUGAUGGUCUCAUUUGUUCCAUCAUGCAGCUGCCUCAGGCCUGUGCUGUAUCCCUUUAUGCCACACAAGAGAGAUAGCUCCCUCCACUUCAGUCUAUAAUACAAACGAAGAUCAGCCAUUUGUUGCAUCCGAGGUAAACUGGCCUGGAUUUGUGGUCUGAGUUCACCAUAUUUCCACAGUAUGACAUUGAAGAAGAAAGGAAUUUUACUUGUCACUUGAUAGUUAUUGUCUCAUGACACUAAGCUAUGACUUGGAGACAAAGGCCAAGUCAAGCCCCACUGUGAGAUUCAAUGAUUCCUUGGUGGAGAAAGAAGCAUUUGAUGUGGAGCCUGACACACCUGAAGGGAGGGGAAGAAAUAUCUAGCACAGCUGCUUCCGAAUUCCCUGGCUGGUCUGAGAACUGUGUGAAGCUGUGAUGGAACCCCCUGGAGAUGUUCUGCAGCUCCAGGCCUCACUUCACAGACUCACUGCAGGAAUGGAUGAACUAAUAAAUGAUUAAGAAGUAAGUACACCAGCAAGUUUCUUGUGCCUGGACUAAAGAUGGAGUAUAGGAUGAGUAGUAGAAGAUGUAACAACUGGGACUGGAUUACAGAUGGUCUUUGUAUUAGUCUAUUCUCACACUGCUAUAAAGAAAUACCUGAGACUGGGUCAUUUAUAAAGAAAAGAGA
rnacentral:lncRNA from 1 species